ACAACUUAUCUCUCAGGGAUAAACAGCAGUGUUUCUGUCACAUCUGAUAGUCAGAGGGACAAGAACAAGAGUCCUACCAACAGCUGCCAGUCAGAUGAUGAGGACAGCAGCAGGUGUCCACAGAGAGGCAUGCCUCGUCUCAGCUCAGACUACAGGGCACCUCAGGUUUUUUGUUGCUGAUCAGACUGGCAGCAGCCUCCUGAAGCUUCAGACAGUCGAGUCAUUUGGUUGGUUCACCGCGGCGGCUCGUCUCUUCCAGGAAUUAACACGCUUACAGCUGGAUUACACAGCACCAGACAGCAGCUCUUACACCCAUAUCACAGAGGUAAAACUUUUCACCAACUACUCACAAAACAAAGAUCCUCGCUUUCAAUCCAAAAACAACUAAACAUCAAAAUAACAAAACAGAAAGAACAAGCAGGACAGAAAUACUUCUCUUUGAUCGUGGUAUUUAACAUUAAAAUUUGAAUGUUUUCAUCUACAUAACAAAGAAGAUAAUGUAAAUCCAUCGGAGUGCAAUAAUUAGCAGAAGGAAGUGUUUUUUUUAUUCCAAAUAUUGCAAAUACAUCAAUGUUUAAUGUUGUCUUAGCACUGAAAUUAACAACAAUGUGAAGUUUGUCUAAACUGGAAAGUAAGCUGCAGCCAUGUCUUUUCAAAGGUUAAAUAAAAACUAAACACAGUAUGUGACAUUUACACAAAGCGUUGGUUUUUGAGAAAGCAUACAGGAGGUUUAUAGCCAUUCUACCGCUAUCGUGACAGUACUAAUCCACAAAACUAUGAUUUAAUACACUAUAAAUGUCAGCUUCAGCGCUCUCU